ensembl:lncRNA
CCAGCUCCAACUGAAUAUCAAAUUUGAGUUUGAAAAUGUUAGCAGAAAUCUUUUCUUAUAAGAAUUUAUCACUUUUAUUUUCUCUUUUGCUCCUCCAACUUCUAGCUGGACCUGUGAAGAACUGUCAAAACAACUGUAGAGGAAUUGUGUUGGAGGCAAUAAUGGCUCCUUUAGUAUCAGAGAAUAGAAAGAUCUCGAAAACAAAGCCUGUUGUCAGGAGACUUGCACCUAUCCUGGCCUACUUCCAAGUAGAAACAAAAACAGAAACGAAGAUAUCCAUGGCACCUAAUGUUAUAAGAAGAAGAAAGCACUUGUAAUCACAGGGGUACUGAGAAAAGGUAACAGACAAAUUUAUAUUUGUGGAACCAGGAAUCUUUCUGAUGACUUUUGGAAAGGGUGGACAUACAAAUAAAAAUCAACGUUUUUCUUGGUAAGGAUUUGAC